AUAGUCCCGGUAAACUUCGUGCCAGCAGCCGCGGUAAUACGAAGGGGGCAAGCGUUAUUCAAAAAAACUGGGCGUAAAGGGCUUUUAGAUGGUAUAAAGAGAGUUAUUAGCUAAAGUUCUUAAUUAAGGUAAGAAUUGUCUAAUAAAACAUUUAAACUUUGAGUAGCAAGUGGAUAGGAUUUAUUUUUUUAGUUGAGGUGGCAUUCGUCUAUAAAAAAAGGAGGAUCUUGGGUGAAAACAUCCUAUUGUUUGCGUACUGACGUCAAUAAAGCAAAAGCAUAGGGAGCAAACAGGAUUAGAUAUCCUGGUAGUCUAUGCCCUGACCGAUGGGUAUUAAAAAAUUAAUGUGUUUUUAUAAUUAACGUGUAAAUACUUCGCCUGGGGACUACGGUCGCAAGACUAAAACUCAAAGGAAUUGACGGGGGCUCUUUACAAACGGUGGAGCAUGUGGUUUAAUCUGAUAAUCCGCGUAAAACCUUACCAGUUCUAACUCGGUGUUGCAUGGCUGUCGUCAGCCCGUGUUGUGAAAUGUAGUGCUUGGGCAUUCAACGGGCAAGACCCUCAAUAAAAUUUUAUAUAAAUUUUAGAAAGAUAGUUUAAGGAGGAGUGAUUAUUCUUUGGGAAUCAAAGGGUUAUUUGCGUAAAAGCUUAUAAUUUAGAAUCCCUAUUUUAAAAAAGUAAGUAGUACUUGCUUUAACAAAAUUGUGAAAAAUGUUUACUCUUGCUUCUAAGGAAAUGAGGUUGAAGUCAAGUCGUCAUGGCUCUUCGAACUGGGCUACACAUGUGCUACAAUGAUUAUUACAAAAUAUAAAAUUUUUUUUAUGAAGUGAAACAGUGAUGAAAUUUUUUUAAAAAUAAUCUUAGUACGGAGUAUAAACUGCAACUCGUUUAUAUGAAGUAGGAAUCGUUAGUAAUCGUGAAUCAGAACGUUACGGUGAAUAGACUUAGGGUCGUGUACACACCGCCCGUCACGUCAGGGGAGUAAAAUUGGCCUGAACAUUCAAUACUAUUUUUUUAAGGAAAAUUUUAUAUUCUUAAUACUAUAAAGGUUUUAAGUGGUAUAUUUAAAUUUUCAACUUGAAUUUUUAGUUUGGUGGAGGGACGAUUUUGUGACCGUGAUGAAGUCGUAACAAGGUAAUCGUAAGGGAACUUGCGGUUGGAA